rnacentral:rRNA from 1 species
CAGUCGCCGCGGUAAUACGAAGGGGGCGAGCGUUGCUCGGAAUGACUGGGCGUAAAGGGCGCGUAGGUGGUACGGACAGUCAGAUGUGAAAUUCCCGGGCUCAACCUGGGGGCUGCAUUUGAUACGUCCGAACUAGAGUGUGGAAGAGGGUCGUGGAAUUCCCAGUGUAGAGGUGAAAUUCGUAGAUAUUGGGAAGAACACCGGUGGCGAAGGCGGCGACCUGGUCCAUUACUGACGCUGAGGCGCGAAAGCGUGGGGAGCAAACAGGAUUAGAUACCCGUGUAGUCCCUGUCUCUUAUAC